UCCCUGGUGGUCCAGUGGUUAGGACUUGGUGCUGCCACUGCCGAGGGCCUGGGUUCAAUCCCUGGUUGGGGAA